UACAGAGGUCCCAAGCGUUGUUCGGAUUCACUGGGCGUAAAGGGUGCGUAGGCGGUCGGGUAAGUCUGAUGUGAAAUCUCACAGCUUAACUGUGAAACUGCAUUGGAUACUAUCCGGCUCGAGGAAUGGAGGGGAGACUGGAAUACUUGGUGUAGCAGUGAAAUGCGUAGAUAUCAAGUGGAACACCAGGGCGAAGGCGAGUCUCUGGACAUUUCCUGACGCUGAGGCACGAAAGCCAGGGGAGCAAACGGG
rnacentral:rRNA from 1 species